rnacentral:rRNA from 1 species
UGGAAGGAGAAAUGCUUAUCUUCAGGAGGUAAAUAGGUUCUAGUUAAGUCUGUUGCUCAAGCUAUACGAACGUAUGCGAUUUCCAUCUCUAAAAUUCCUUUUUUUUGCAAAGGAAUCACAGAUGUGAUAUCUCAUUUUUGGUGGGGUGAUGAUGCAACAUACAAGAGGCCGCACUGGUUUGCAUGGUGGAAUAUGUGCAUCCCAAAGAAGUAAGGUGGCAUGGGUUUUAGAGAUACCCGCUAUUUCAAUCUUGCUUUCUUGGCUAAACAGGCUUCGAAGCUCAUUGACAACCCAGAUUUAUUAUGUGCCUUGAUCCUUAAGGAAAAAUAUUUUCUGGAUGGGGAUCUGAUAAUCCCCAAGUGCAGGGAAUCAUCGUAG